rnacentral:rRNA from 1 species
UGGAACGUGCGUGGUCUAAAUGGGCCAGCUAGGAGGAAGACUUUACGUGAAUUUGUAGAUUCUUUACAUGUGACGAUCUGUUGUAUCCUAGAGACCAAACUUGAGAGGGUGGACCAGUACAUGAUUCUACAAUGUAUGGGGCCUACAUAUGAUGGCUACACCUAUUUACCGGCGUCUGAUACUAGGGGAGGGAUUUUUAUCGCUUGGGACUCCACGAGGGUGCAAUUGACAAACCAUGUCAAUGAUACCUAUUCCAUCACUAGCUACGUUUCCCCCGUGGGAGGCACACCAAGGUGGCUGCCGGUGGUUUACGGUCCUCAGGAGGACAGCCAGAAAAUCGGGUUUCUACAAGAGUUGAUGGAGCGUAGAUUGUUGUGCCCAGGGAAAUAG